rnacentral:rRNA from 1 species
UGGGGAUGACGUCAAGUCCUCAUGGCCUUUAUGCUAGGGCUACACACGUACUACAAUGGCAGGUACAAAGGGCAGCCACUUAGCGAUAAGGCGCGAAUCCCGUAAAACCUGUCUCAGUCCGGAUUGGAGUCUGCAACUCGACUCCAUGAAGUUGGAAUCGCUAGUAAUCGCAGAUCAGCACGCUGCGGUGAAUACGUUCCCGGGCCUU